GCUGGGCAUUGUGGCAGGCCCUGUAGUCCCAGCUACUUGGGAGGCUGAGGCAGGAGACUCGCUUGAGCCCAGGAGUUGGAGGUCGCUGUGAGCUGUGAUGCCAUGGCACUCUACCCAGGGGGACAGCUUGAGGCUCUGUCUCAAAAAAAAAAAAAGAAAUGCUAGAGAAAAAGAAACUGAACAAGAAGCUAGGAUCUUUUUUUUUUUUUUUUUUUUUUGAGACAGAGCCUCAAGCUGUCCCCCUGGGCAGAGUGCCCUGGCAUUACAGCUCACAGCAACCUCCAAC
rnacentral:sRNA from 1 species